GUGGGGACUUUUGGACAAUGGGCGCAAGCCUGAUCCAGCGACGCCGCGUGGAGGACGAAGGCCUUCGGGUUGUAAACUCCUUUUGGAGGGGAAGAAUAAAUUGACGGUACCCUCAGAAAAAGCCACGGCUAACUACGUGCCAGCAGCCGCGGUAAUACGUAGGUGGCGAGCGUUACUCGGAAUUACUAGGCGUAAAGCGUAUGUAGGUGGUUAGAUAAGUCUAUGGUGAAAUUUCCUGGCUUAACUGGGAAGGGACAUAGAUACUAUCUGGCUUGAGUGUGGGAGGGGGAGACGGAAUUCCUGGUGUAGCGGUGAAAUGCGUAGAUAUCAGGAGGAACACCGAUGGCGAAAGCAGUCUCCUGGCCCAAUACUGACACUGAGGUACGAAAGCUAGGGUAGCAAACAGGAUUAGAAACCCGUGUAGUCC
rnacentral:rRNA from 1 species